AGGACGAACGCUGGCGGCGUGCUUAACACAUGCAAGUCGAGCGGUAAGGCCUUUCGGGGUACACGAGCGGCGAACGGGUGAGUAACACGUGGGUGAUCUGCCCUGCACUUCGGGAUAAGCCUGGGAAACUGGGUCUAAUACCGGAUAUGACCUCCUAUCGCAUGGUGGGUGGUGGAAAGAUUUAUCGGUGCAGGAUGGGCCCGCGGCCUAUCAGCUUGUUGGUGGGGUAAUGGCCUACCAAGGCGACGACGGGUAGCCGACCUGAGAGGGUGACCGGCCACACUGGGACUGAGACACGGCCCAGACUCCUACGGGAGGCAGCAGUGGGGAAUAUUGCACAAUGGGCGAAAGCCUGAUGCAGCGACGCCGCGUGAGGAUGACGGCCUUGGUUGUAACGUCUUCUAGCAGGACGAAGACGCAAGUAGACGGUACGUCGCACGAAGAAGACACCGACAACUAACGUGCCAGCAGACCGC
rnacentral:rRNA from 1 species